rnacentral:rRNA from 1 species
UACGAAGGGGGCUAGGCGUUGCUCGGAAUCACUGGGCGUAAAGGGUGCGUAGGCGGGUCUUUAAGUCAGGGGUGAAAUCCUGGAGCUCAACUCCAGAACUGCCUUUGAUACUGAGAAAGCUUGAGUCCGGGAGAGGUGAGUGGAACUGCGAGUGUAGAGGUGAAAUUCGUAGAUAUUCGCAAGAACACCGGUGGCGAAGGCGGUUCUACUGGGCAUGUCCUGACGCUGAGGAGCGAAAGUGUGGGGAGCAAACAGGA